GACGAACGCUGGCGGCGUGCCUAAUACAUGCAAGUAGAACGCUGAAGGAGGAGCUUGCUUCUCUGGAUGAGUUGCGAACGGGUGAGUAACGCGUAGGUAACCUGCCUGGUAGCGGGGGAUAACUAUUGGAAACGAUAGCUAAUACCGCAUAAGAGUAGAUGUUGCAUGACAUUUGCUUAAAAGGUGCAAUUGCAUCACUACCAGAUGGACCUGCGUUGUAUUAGCUAGUUGGUGGGGUAACGGCUCACCAAGGCGACGAUACAUAGCCGACCUGAGAGGGUGAUCGGCCACACUGGGACUGAGACACGGCCCAGACUCCUACGGGAGGCAGCAGUAGGGAAUCUUCGGCAAUGGACGGAAGUCUGACCGAGCAACGCCGCGUGAGGGAAGAAGGGUUUCGGAUCGUAAAGCUCUGUUGUAAGAGAAGAACGAGUGUGAGAGUGGAAAGUUCACACUGUGACGGUAUCUUACCAGAAAGGGACGGCUAACUACGUG
rnacentral:rRNA from 1 species